UGCGUAGGCGGAACUUUAAGUCAGUGGUGAAAUCCUGCGGCUCAACCGUAGAACUGCCAUUGAUACUGAUAUUCUUGAAUGUAGUUGAGGUAGGCGGAAUGUGUAAUGUAGCGGUGAAAUGCUUAGAUAUUACACAGAACACCGAUUGCGAAGGCAGCUUACUAAACUAUGAUUGACGCUGAGGCACGAAAGCGUGGGGAGCGAACAGGAUUAGAUACCCUGGUAGUCC
rnacentral:rRNA from 1 species